rnacentral:rRNA from 1 species
CAUGUAGGCGGUCUGUCAAGUCUGAUGUGAGAGCCCGGGGCUCAACCCCGGAAGUGCAUUGGAAACUGGCAGACUUGAGUACGGGAGAGGAAAGUGGAAUUUCGAGUGUAGGGGUGAAAUCCGUAGAUAUUCGAAGGAACACCAGUGGCGAAGGCGGCUUUCUGGACCGAUACUGACGCUGAGAUGCGAAAGCGUGGGGAGCAAACAGGAUUAGAUACCCUGGUAGUCC